AGGAGGAUUAAUACCGGAUGUGGCCACCCUGCGAUUGCUGGGGAAGCUAAAGGAUUUAUUCACUUCCCGAGGGGCUCGCGGUCCAUCAGCUUGUGGGUGAGGGUAACGGCCCACCAAGGCGAGAACGGGUAGCUGGUCGUGAGAGGAUGGUCAGCCACACUGGAAGCUGAGACACGGUCCAGACACCUACGGGUGGCAGCAGAUCGAGAAUCAUUCGCAAUGGGGGAAACCCUGACGAUGCGACGCCGCGUGGAGGAUGAAGGCCUUAGGGUUGUAAACUCCUGCUCAAGAGGGAAUAAGCAAUGUGAAGGUACCUCUAGAGGAAGGGGCGGCUAAUUCCGUGCCAUCAGCCGGGGUAACACGGAAGCCCCGAGCGUUGUCCGGAUUCAUUGGGCGUACAGGGUGCGUAGGCGGCGCGGAAAGUCCGGCGUGAAAGGCGGAGGCUCAGCCUCUGGACUGCGUUGGAUACUUCCGUGCUUGAGGACUGGAGGGGAUACUGGAAUUCACGGUGUAGCAGUGAAAUGCGUAGAUAUCGUGAGGAACACCGGUGGCGAAGGCGAGUCUCUGGACAGAUCCUGACGCUGAGGCACGAAGGCU
rnacentral:rRNA from 1 species